AACGAACGCUGGCGGUAUGCCUAACACAUGCAAGUCGAACGAUGGCUUCGGCCAUAGUGGCGCACGGGUGCGUAACGCGUGGGAAUCUGCCCUUGGGUUCGGAACAACCGUUGGAAACGACGGCUAAUACCGGAUGACGUUGAUAAGACCAAAGAUUUAUCGCCGGAGGAUGAGCCCGCGUAGGAUUAGCUAGUUGGUGUGGUAAGAGCGCACCAAGGCGACGAUCCUUAGCUGGUCUGAGAGGAUGAUCAGCCACACUGGGACUGAGACACGGCCCAGACUCCUACGGGAGGCAGCAGUGGGGAAUAUUGGACAAUGGGCGAAAGCCUGAUCCAGCAAUGCCGCGUGAGUGAUGAAGGCCUUAGGGUUGUAAAGCUCUUUUACCCGGGAUGAUAAUGACAGUACCGGGAGAAUAAGCCCCGGCUAACUCCGUGCCAGCCGCCGCAGUAAAAC
rnacentral:rRNA from 1 species